rnacentral:rRNA from 1 species
ACCUGACUGCUAUCGGAUUGAUACUAAGCCAUGCGAGUCUUUGUAGUAAUACAAGGCAUACGGCUCAGUAACGCGUAGUCAACCUACCCUAUGGACAAGAAUAAUCUCGGGAAACUGAGCAUAAUUCUUGAUAGAUCAUAAUGCCUGGAAUGGUUUAUGGUUAAAAUGAUUCGUCGCCAUAGGUUGGGACUGCGGCCUAUCAGCUUGUUGGUGAGGUAAUGGCCCACCAAGGCGAUUACAGGUACGGGCUCUGAGAGGAGAAGCCCGGAGAUGGGUACUGAGACAAGGACCCAGGCCCUAUGGGGCGCAGCAGGCGAGAAAACUUUGCAAUGUGCGAAAGCACGACAAGGUUAGUCCGAGUGAUUUCUGCUAAAGAGAUCUUUUGCUAGUUAUAAAACCACUAGUGAAUAAGGGGUGGGCAAGUUCUGGUGUCAGCCGCCGCGGUAAAACCAGCACCUCAAGUGGUCAGGAUGAUUAUUGGGCCUAAAGCAUCCGUAGCCGGCUCUGUAAGUUUUCGGUUAAAUCUGUACGCUCAACGUACAGGCUGCCGGAAAUACUGCAGAACUAGGGAGUGGGAGAGGUAGACGGUACUCGGUAGGAAGUGGUAAAAUGCUUUGAUCUAUCGAUGACCACCUGUGGCGAAGGCGGUCUACCAGAACACGUCCGACGGUGAGGGAUGAAAGCUGGGGGAGCAAACGGGAUUAGAUACCCGGGUAGUCCUAGCUGUAAACGCUGUGGACUUGAUGUUGGGUUGGCUCCGAGCACCCUCAGUGUCGAAGCGAAGGUGGUAAGUCCACUGCCUGGGGAGUACGGUCGCAAGUAUGAAACUUAAAGGAAUUGGCGGGGGAGCACCACAAGGGGUGAAGCCUGCGGUUC